rnacentral:misc_RNA from 1 species
CUGAGAGCCCGGUAUGGGUAGCCCUAACCAGCUGCCCACAUCGUGUGCCUUCUUCCACCCUUUGUUUAUGAGCACCUUUAUUUUUCAUUCCUCGGUGGGGAGACCUGCCGCUGGAAUCAACCUUAAACUCUUGCAUUAAGCAUUUUAAAUUCUGAUAACCUAAUUAAUUAUUA